rnacentral:rRNA from 1 species
GAUGAACGCUGGCGGCGUGCCUAAUACAUGCAAGUCGAGCGAACGGACGAGAAGCUUGCUUCUCUGAUGUUAGCGGCGGACGGGUGAGUAACACGUGGAUAACCUACCUAUAAGACUGGGAUAACUUCGGGAAACCGGAGCUAAUACCGGAUAAUAUUUUGAACCGCAUGGUUCAAAAGUGAAAGACGGUCUUGCUGUCACUUAUAGAUGGAUCCGCGCUGCAUUAGCUAGUUGGUAAGGUAACGGCUUGCCAAGGCAACGAUGCAUAGCCGACCUGAGAGGGUGAUCGGCCACACUGGAACUGAGACACGGUCCAGACUCCUACGGGAGGCAGCAGUAGGGACUCUUCCGCAAUGGGCGAAAGCCUGACGGAGCAACGCCGCGUGAGUGAUGAAGGUCUUCGGAUCGUAAAACUCUGUUAUUAGGGAUGAACAUAUGUGUAAGUAACUGUGCACAUCUUGACGGUACCUAAUCAGAAAGCCACGGCUAACUACGUG